rnacentral:lncRNA from 1 species
CACUGAGGAAGGUGAUGAGGAGGAGGAAGAUGAGGAGGAGGAUGGAGGCACUGAAGAUGAGGAUGGAGAUGAUGAGGAUGAUGAUGGGGGCACUGAGGACAAGGAUGAAGGCACUGAGGACGAGGAGGAGGAAGAUGGGGGAGCUGAGGAGGAGGAAGAUGAGGAUGAGGAGGACGAGGGUGGGGGCCCUGAGGAGGAGGAGGAAGAUGAGGAUGGAGAUGCUGAGGAUGAUGAUGAUGGGGGCGCUGAGGACAAGGAUGAAGGCACUGAGGAGAAAGAGGAGGAAGAUGAGGAUGAGGAGGGCGAGGCCCC